rnacentral:rRNA from 1 species
AAUAUUGGACAAUGGGGGCAACCCUGAUCCGGCCAUGCCGCGUGUGUGAAGAAGGUCUNCGGAUUNUNAUGCACUUUAAGUUGGGNAGAAGGGCUUUAGGUUAAUACCCUGAAGUUUUGACGUUACCAACAGAAUAAGCACCGGCUAACACGGUGCCAGCAGCCGCGGUAAUACAGAGGGUCCAAGCGAUAAUCGGAAUUACUGGGCGUAAAGCGCGCGUAGGUGGUUCAGUAAGAUGAGUCUGAAAUCCCCGGGCUUAACCUGGGAACUGCCUUCAUAACUGCUGAGCUAGGGUACGGUAGAGGGUAGUGAAAUUUCCUGUGUAGCGGUGAAAUGCGUAGAUAUAGGAAGGAACACCAGUGGCGAAGGCGAAUACCUGGACUGAUACUGACCCUGAGGUGCGAAAGCGUGGGGAGCAAAC